UGUGCUGCGUAAGAUAUUUAAUAUUUGUUUGAAACAUGUUUGUUUUUGUUUUCAAUAAAUAUUCAAAAGGCACCUAUGGUAAAAUGAACGAGUCAACACUUCAAAACGAAGAUACUACAUUGUUGGCGAUUCCAGACGUGAUUAUGAUUAACUCUUUGGAUUAAUUGCUUUGGUUUGGAAGUUUCUGAUUCACCACUGUGAAAUUGAGCUGUUCAAUAUGAGUUCUUCUAAUAGUGAUUCGUCUACUUCUAGUAGCGAAUCCGAAGAAAUUCUGCUUGCAAUUCAAGCAAGUCGGAGGUUACAAAUGAAGUUUAAGGAAAGGUCUCUCCGAAGAUACGAAACGAAAUUUCUCUCCCAAAGGCGAAGACAGCAGUUUCAAGAGAAGGAUGCUGAGCGAAGACAGCAGUUUCAAGAGAAGGAUGCUGAGUGA